CAGCCGCCACGGGAAUACAGAGACUGCGAGCGUUAUUCGGAUUCACUGGGCGUAAAGGGUGCGCAGGCGGCUAAGUGUGUUAGGCGUGAAAGCCCGAGGCUUAACCUCGGAAUUGCACCUAAAACUACUUGGCUAGAGUACUGGAGAGGGAAACGGAAUUCACGGUGUAGCAGUGAAAUGCGUAGAUAUCGUGAGGAACACCAGAGGCGAAGGCGGUUUCCUGGACAGUUACUGACGCUCAGGCACGAAAGCGUGGGGAGCAAAAGGGAUUAGAUACCCGCGUAGUCCCUGUCUCUUAUAC
rnacentral:rRNA from 1 species